rnacentral:lncRNA from 1 species
ACCGCCGCAUGAGACAUCUAAAUGAUUGUUCAAGGACAGAUUAGUCAACCACCUUUUGCAUUUUUUUUAACAGGGCUUCAGAAAGAAGCUAGGGAAACAGACUAUUGUUCUCUCAACUAAAUAUAUAAAUAAAUACCCCAUCAACAGUUUUCUUUUUCUCCUCAACUUGUCGGCCUGUUCUCCGCAAGACAGUCUGCAUAGUUCUGAGAUUAGACAUUUUGGCCGCUCAUGCAUUUUCAAUCAUUCUCCAAAAGAGGGUAUAGUUUUCCAACAAGAGGCUCCAACGCAGAUGUGCCCCUUUUGAACACAAAGGAGAAGCAGCAGCUCAGCAAACCCUUCCAGAAAGGAACAUUGUACUCCCUCCGUUCCUAAAUAUAAGUCUUUUGUAAGAUCUCACUAGAGAUUACAUAUGGAAAAAAAUAAAUUAAUAUACACUCUAAACUAUGUAUAUAUACAUUCAUAUGUAGUCCAUAGUGCAAUUUUUAAAAAGACUUAUAUUUAAGAACAAAGGAAGUAGUAAAAUACUGCUUCCUUGCAGUACAAAUCAGGAAAAGAUUCAAGACCCUGACAGAAGAAAGGAACAAUACAAAUAACAGUAGAAGUGAGAUAACAAUUCGUCAUUUCAUAAAAUAGCCCGGAGAACACAUUAUUUUAUUCGGGGAGCCUCGAACAAAAUUCCACUGGCUUUUGGACCAACAGUCAGCUAUGCUGAGUUGCCAGAUAUUGUACAUUAAGGCUUAGGUGGAGCACCAAGGAACAAUACGGUUGUGCAAGAUUAGAUUGCAAUCUUGACCACUAACUUGCGGCACCUACAGUAAUCAAAAAAAUAUGCUAGUACAUGGCAAAGGCCUGGCCAUCCAUCAACCUUAAAGGUGCAAGCUGCAACUUAUGCAAUAAAUAAAUGAACUGGCAGACUACUAAAGUAUCUCCCUCCCAGUAGGCUUCAUCUAUCUAAACAGAUAUAGAGAAUGUAAAUUAUCAUAAAUUACACUAUCUACUUCAAAUGGUCCCAGGAAAAUAGAAGACCUAUAUAUGGCCACGAACUCAUUCAAGCUACAGAAUCUAUCCUUUCGUUGAGCCCCACGGGCAAAGGGGCUGGAUACACUGAACUCCCUGAAAAAGCUCUAGGCUUUACACCUUCGAUUUGUUCUUUUCAAACCACUAAGCACAUAAGUUAUCACACCUUGCAUACUACAAGUGACCAAAGCAGAAACCCUUAGAUGCUAACUAGAAACCGGUUAGAACUUUGAUAAGUUCCAUAGGUUAUUCCCUUAUCCCCCCUUAACUUUUUCUUAAUUAGUUAAACUUUCCAGUCGUCAUAAAAUUAACAAUCAUUCUUGCACCUUUUAUAUAUUUAUUUUCCUUGCCUGGUCUUAACGUGUUCACCUCCGGUAUAAUUUACAGAAAAAAGUUAAAAGUUUAAACGGGGAUUAUUUGGUGGACCAAUGCAAGGAAGAUCAUGCCAAAGAUGCUCUGCAUCAAGCUGAUUGUGACAUUAAAAUUUGUGGGGUCAAUAGUGAGGAAGGGGGCAAAAGAAAAGGACGGAAAGAACAGCACUAACUGCAUCUGGAAGGCUGGAGUGCUCGUAACCACCAUAUCAUCAUGGAUUUUGUUACAAGGCAUCUUGUGAUUAUGUGACCUACGAGAGUGCACACUAAAAGUGGAAUCAACUAAUGUGACCUGGGUCUAACACAUGCUGAACUCCUUUGCUCGGUCUAAAGUAUGUUUCUUCAGUAAACUAACAGAUUUUCAUGUCAGCUACAAGACUAAAUAAACACAGAAAAUAAAUAUAAGGCAUAAGAAAUGGCAUUAUCAAACUAAUACUUUGAAUUAGACAUGUAUAUGUCAGGUUACUCGAAGUCAACAAAACUUUGGACACUGAUACAGGGUAGAAUAAUCUGAAUAAACCAGCAUCUUGUGAAAAAGUACUUUUCAAGAUUAUAUGGAUGACAAGAGAAGAAUGAUGCGUUCUUGCAUCACAAUCCUGCAACCCCCAUUCAUUAGUGGCCUCUGCGCAUGGAAGAUUCCUCACAUUUUCUAGCUUUCAUACCUAUAAGAAGUGGGCACCUAAGUUGAUCAUUAGAUCUAUAAUAUAGCAUAUAUUUAAAUUAACACUUGCCAUUAAGAAAAUGGAAAAACUGAGGCAUCACAGAAAGGGCCCAUCAAGUAAAAGGCAAUAAGAGUUCCAGGUCUUAGCACAGAGGCUAACAAAGGAAAAGUGAUAUGUGACAUUCCUAUGCAUUUUGAGAUAGAUCAAACUGAACUACUAUGGAACAAAUAAAUUAAUUAAAGAAGCAGGUAAUGUUAGUAAUAGAGAAAUCUCUUUCUAAUCAUGCCACUUCUUAAUCACCAAACUUUAUCCCUUUGUUUUGUAUUACUUAGUCUGACUCCUGAUAUAGUAAAGAGAUAGCUACAAAUCUAGCUUUAGCAGAUGACACAAAUCAUACUUUGCAUUGUCCCCAGCCAUCUACAGGCCUUCUCAUUAGUCAAUGAUGUACAGCCUUAAAAUCCUUCAAUAUGUUCAGUUUCAGCACAAUCCAAACUCAGUCACAAACGCAAGAGUUGUGUUUGUCUAAUAUUCUGAGAAAGUUCACAGGGAAAAGCAAAGAUAUUAGAGCAAUAAACUUUUCAGGGUAGAGGUCCGAUUAGAUUUGUUCAAUAGAAACAACAAUGUGCUAAUAAAUACUCUCUCCGUGUCUUUGAUUUAGUACACGGAGGGAGUACAUAUUUCAGUGCAAGACAAAAUGAAUCUAUUUUUGAGUCUUGCCGAUGGUACAAAGCACUGCAACUUGAUGGUGUGAGCUUUCAUGUGAACAUCUGAUGAAAUGAAAUGUAUAUGCAGAUGUAGGAUAACAGUAAUCAUUAAACAGACAAAUGUUGAUGGAUAUUCAUUUUUACGCAUAUUAAUAUAUCUGGGCAGGGGAUUUUAUUAUGAUGAGAUUCAAUCUUCUAUGUACUCGAUAUAUUGAAAUUAUGAUAUAUAUGCAUUCAGUAAUCGAGAAUAUACUGGAAAAAAAGCGCCUUAGCAAUAAGAUAAUGAUCAUCUGCAUUCUCAUUUGAUUUAGUUAUAUUGUUAUGGUCAGAAACAAACGACAAACUAAUAUCUCCUCAUAGCUCACAAUUAGUCGUACUAGCUGAAUAUCCACGCAUUCUACGGAACUAAUAUAAAUCUAAUCAUGUGGCACAUGAUUCACCAUACAAAUCCAUGUCCAAAAAAACAACAUUGUACGGCAACUUAGAAAUGGCCAAAUGAGAAAUCAAUCAUAAGGCAUAUUUUGCAAAUCCUAGAACAAGAUGGUGAAAAUCAUGGAGAUGACACCACCAGUCACGGAGUUACUUUUGGUGAAGGGGGAGGUGGAUGGCAGACGGAUCAUCACAGCACGUUAAAAGAUUGCAAUCAGAGGUCAGGCAGUGUUUAAUUGCAUUAUGAACUGCCAAAUCUUUCACUAUACAGCAUGUAUAAGGGACAAAACCAUUAAACCAAUUAUCUGCUAAAGUGAGCCCCAUUUUCAGGCUCAUGUUCAGAUCUAUUGUUCUGUCAAAAGAAUAAUAGCAGAAAUUUCGCUUAAGUAUCCAUUUCCAGUUAGUGAUGCAUUGAGGCUGUAGAUGCCAUUAUUCUCUAAACUGGUACAAUGUAGAGGUGUCAACAAUUAUAUAGAAUUACCGCACCAUGCACAUCCAAUAAAUCAGUAGAUACCAUGAUGCACUAGCCAAAUUAAUGACUGCCAGGAACCUAUUAAUAAAUUAGUCGCUGGACUGCUUUGACUACAAUGGACAGGAAUUGGGAUCAAUUUUCACUUACACAAACAUUUACAACUGUUUUCUUCUUAUCUUCUACGGGGCAAAAGAGUCACCAAACUUAAAAAUCAUGAAUCCAAUCAGCACUAAGUUGACCAUAGAAAAAGAAGAGACAAUCCAAUACACUGGCACUGGAUUAUUCCAUUUUCUCCCUGCUUGAACUCAACAAUACAUACGGACAGAAAAUGAUUCAAGCAUGCAAACCCUACUUGCAGUAGCUUAUCAUUCAGUAGGGGUAAAAGAGAAGCAGGGAAGAAGAAAGAACUGCAGGAAAUCAACGUAUGAUGCGUUGGUGGACUAUUCCAUAUUUGAUAGACAUCAUCAGUAUAACUAGAGCCUGUGACCCAGUGCCCACUAGGAUCAAAAGCAGUCAAGAAAUGAUGUGCAGCAAGUAUUGGUACUGAGGCAGGAAAAGGAUGUAGUGUUCGCUGAGCGGCCAACCAGCCAUUACGUUCAUUUUAAGUUGAUCAUCUCCUAGUUUACCUUUCAGUUUCCCAACCUAGGAAUGCACAGACACAAAAAUCCUAAAAGACAGUGGCUCAUUUUAGAUAAAAGUAAAACAUAGUAUCACAGUAUGGCAAAUACAGGAACUGAAGCCUGUGUCUAUGAAUUACCUAAACGAGAACUUUCUCAUUUGCUUAUAUACUUCAUUGUUUUUUUUUUAGACCAGGUUCUACAAGUUCACUACAUCCAGGAGCCACAGUUAGGAAACGAAGCAUAAACUGAACUUUCCAACUCACAUUUCAUACAAAACAACCAUGUCGUCAGAUACCAAUUCUUGCUCCCCAAACAUUGAUAAAUCUCAACACAGGGGGCAAUUAGCAGUACAUUCUUAUUGCAACGAUUCUAUGAAUCUUGUGAACAAGCAGCAGAUAAGCGAAAUCUAACUUGUCUCAGGCUUCGAGCAGAAAGGCACAUCUCUACACGCCCUUUCACCUCGGCGCCGCGAAAGUCACACGUCCUCCCCGCCACGGCUGCCGCCUCCGCCUGCGCCGUCCAGACCCUUGAAGCCCUCGGAGACCGCCCGCGCGCGGUUCUGCGCCUGCCUCUCCACCGCCACGAAGUACAGGCCUGCAAAGCGGCAACCAUCGGAUCAGAUCGCGACAAGGAGCAACCAGGGGCACGCGGAGACUGGGAUGUAAGGGAGCGCCAAGGUUUAGGGUUUUGGUUCAGGUGCUUACUCACGGCGCUGCCGAUGGCGCAUAUCCAGAGGACGCGCUGCGACCACCUGUCGCCAACCACACCUCGACCGCCCAUCCCCAUGCCGCCGCCGCCGGCGGUGAGGCAGAUGAUGUGCUGCGCGCCUGCUCGGUUAGUUCUCGCCUUCUCGGUGCUCCG